CAUUCUAAUGAUGCACAGGUCCCUCCUACUCAAUGGCAGGCAAGGCCUGAGGAUACAUCAAAGAACUCUCCUGCCAAUGCCACAGGGCCAAUGUCAGGUUCAGGGUUACACAGAAAAGUAACCUGUAAACUAUAAAAGAGAUCUAGAGACACAGGGACAUUCCUCUUUCCUUUGUUUCCUCAGUAUCAAGCCAACACCUGAGAGAUCAAAGAGCUCGGAUCCCAGGGGCAGACUGAGCCCUCAGAGGGCCCAGUGUGCCUACAUCAAAAAGCACCUUCAGGAAAAUGAGUAAAGACUCUCUUACUUUCCAAAAGGCUCUCAAAUUGUUUCUAAGGAGCUGACUUAACCCUCUGCAAAUGGUGGAUUCAGCCAAUCUACCUUUUAUACCAGAUCUCUCCCAGUCUUAGUCCCUCAAUCUAUGUACAGGGUAGUACUAUUUGAAUACUCUACAGACAUCUUCAAAUCAGCAUGUUCAAAAUUAAAUUCACUUCCCUCUACUCAUAAAAUUUUAAUUACCACUAAAUAUACACAUCUGUACUUCUUCCAGACUCUAACCUCCUUCAGCACAGUGAUCAGAUCUUAUAUAUCUUGUUUCCCCAAUGGAAAGACAGCAAAUGAUCCAUUAGUGUUUAGCUGCACUAAAAUAAAGAGUUCCACAUUAGCUAUGAUAAUGCUAGCUGCUCUAACAAAUGCCAAAACCUCAGAGACUUAAUAGUACUUUACUUUGUGUGUACUAGAGACCCCAAUAGAGACGUUCCUGACUAGCAGACAGCCUCGUGCCUGCUCAUUUGGGACCCAGGAUAAUUCUAUUUUGCAGCACUGCCCUCCUCUUGGUUCUUCAGGUCUCCUCAUUCAGCACACAGAUGGUACAUGUGGGAAAGAGAGGGAGAUUAAUUGAUUGGGAAAGUCCCUCUUUAUAUCACUGGCACAACCAUUAAUAACAUGCUUUUUCACUCUCAAAAGCAUCCAAAUUUGAAGGAUAAAUUGUGUUGCUACUUGCUUAUAGAUUAUCUAUGAGCCCAUCAUAAAAUUUCAAAAGCUGACAUUUUUUCGCCAUCUGAGGACCCAUCUGAGGGUAAACACUGUACCAUAAAGAAGAAAAGGUCACAAGGGGCAUAUUCCUGUACCUGACCACUGUCUACCUUCCUGUGCAGUCAGAGAUAUUCUUCGACCUUAAAGUUCACUUCAGAGAAAUCCUGGCCUUCCAGGAUACACCUCCUCAGUGCUGUGCCUUCUCAACAUGAAGAACCAAUGUCUGACACUGAAAAGCCAAGUCUUGCAUUCCAGGCAUCGCUGAAUCUGCUUUCCAAGAAAGGGCUGAUGCCUUCCAAAGAACCAGUUCUCCUUUCCAAAAACAAACAAAAAAUAUCUACAAUCUGGUCACAAAUCCUUUCGUUCCAGUAUUAAAAACAUGCCCAAUUAGGAAAUUAAGAUGCUUUCUCCCGAAAGUGAAUUGCCACCCAACUUUAAAAAUGAAGGCCCUUAAUUCUGAAAUUAUAAUUAUAUAGACAUGAACCAGCCUGACACUGACUUUGCUAAUACUCCUACUUCAUAAUACAGUAAACAAAGGUGCAAAGGACAAUGUUUAAGAUUUAAGCAAAGAGUUUUUCAAGAUCCUAAGAGAAUUUCACAAGAUAGAAGCUAAAAGAAGGAAAUAACCUAAUAAUUUAGUUGUAACAACUAAAUUACACAGGAAUCUCUCUGAGAAAUAGUCCAACUUCACCAAUUCAGGCUGAUUUGCCAUGUCCAUUAGUCAGGAUAAGAGAGGCUUUGCCAAAUGUAGAAGAUUUCCCCAUCUAACACCUUCUCCAGUUGAGCCUCUGAAGAAGAUACUAAGAGAAAUACCUGAUCAAAUGCUUAAGCAUUAACCACGUGCAAGAAAGCCAUUAAAUGAAUGAACCUUCUGUGAAUUAAAUUGAUUUUCUAGAAAAUGAAAACAAAAUUGAAUCCAAGAGCAAACUAUCUUAAAAUCACAUUAGACGAGUAAAAACAUAAAAUAUUUUUUCACCAGGACUGUAAAAAUUAAAUCAGCUUAAAGAGGAAAUAAAUGCUUUUGUGUUCCAACCAGUUCCAUUUAUUAGGACAAUAGGUACCUACGAAGGAACCAAAACUCUGAAAAGAAGUGUAAUUGUUUCUAAAGAUGAUGCUUUGUGCAGUGAAAGGAAAGUCAUCUUUUCUCUAAGUAACUUACUAAGAAGCAGAGAAUCAUACUCAGUGUCUGCUCACAGUUGGAGAGGGGAAGAAGAGGUAACCAGAAAUUCAGGGAAAUCCACAUUUGACCCCCAAACUGGCCCCCUGCCAAGGAGAGGGUAGGCUGGCUGGCUGCUCCCCACCCUCACCUCUGUUUCAUCCAUCCACAGCUAUCGCCAAUCUUUCCUCGGGUUCUGUUGCUUCUGUGCAUUUCUGCUUCUCAUUGUGCUCUUCUGAACUCAGCAGCCUUGGUCAGUGGACUGAGUCACACCAUGCAUGAUGUCUAGAGGAAAAUUUCUGUUGUGCCCACAUCCUUGUUUUAUUAGCCAGGUAAGUACACUGGCUGCUAUAACAAACAGGCUUAGAUUUCAGAACCAGACAUAAUUUCAAAAGUCCAGAUCCCUCUUUUUUGGGCUCUUUCUAUCCUCAGAUUCUACCAUCUUCCAACCAACUGGAUGGGAGCAAAAAGUAGGCUGAUGGAAAUCUGUGCACAACUCAGUUACAUGAUUCCUCUAGAUGCGUUGAGAGCUGAGAAUUGCAGCUUUCUUUGUACUUAUUAAAGAGGCAAACUGGACACUGGUAAAUUCCAGCAAUUUCUACCACCCUGGAUCUGCCAUUCAGAAUGCACUUGCUAAUCUAUUUUGCACAUCAGAUACUCUGUUGUGGACUAGGGCAGUGGUAUGUUGCACUUAAGUAAUCACAACCUAGGAGGAGUGAAAAUGGGCACCUUAAUAAUUGCAUUUAUCUUAACAUAAUAAAUGUUAUAAUAGAGGCAUUAGCAGAGGGCUGAAGGAACCCCAAAAAGCAGCACAAUCAGAAAAGCUUUAGGGACUUUUGAACUGCAUCUUGAAGGAGGGUGACAACAGCCAAUGUUCUUUAAUCAUUUUCCACUCAUCCAGCAUGGUUCUAAGUGCUUUUCACGUGCUAACUCACUUAAUCGUCACUACUCUAAGAGCUGGGUAGUAUUUUUAUACCUACACACGAGAAACUGAAGCACAGAGAGGCCGAGUCACUUGCUGAAGGUCUCACUGUUCACUAGUCAUAGAGGACCCAGGCCAUCCAGCUCCUGAAAUGACUCAAUCAGCAGUUAGGAGUCCACCAGGGGAAAGGACAAGGUCCUCUCUUGCUGACAGAGACCCUGUAUCUGCCUUCCCUAAAGUACAUCAGGAGAACAUUGGGAGGUCUGGAGAAACACAUGCUGAUAAGGUCUCACUACAUCCUCACUGCCCACACCAAGAAGUUAUGGGUGUCACCGACAAAGCGAGAGUCUGGAACCAAGAUUACAAUCACUGCAUGGCUGGGAGGAUGACAGGACAAAAGGGAAAUGGGCCAGACUGAAGUAAGGAACCCAGACCUAAACAGCACACCAUCCAGCUAGGCCAGGCCAGUAGCCAAGGAAGGUAUCAGAAGGCAGUGAUCCAGCUGAUACAAAGUCGUUAAGACCUCAUUAGGUUCAACACAUAUCCAUCCAAGUUGAAGUUGACCCACAGUCAGAAGCUGGAGGUCGGGAAUGGUGCCAUCUCCCUGUGUGCAGGUGAUCCCAGGGCUGUCACUGUUGCAGUGAAGAAGGUGGUAGCCCAUACUUGAUUCUCUAGUAGGAGUUCUGCAUCCCCUGCUGAAUGUUUGUAACAUCAGAGUCUGGCCAUUGCAUGGAUUCCACUCUGACCACAUGCACAGCCUCCUGUGAGUAGCAGAGGCACGCAAUGUCCACCCACACUGUUUUCCUCUCCUUUCUGGAUACACAGGUCUACACUCCCCAGUUCCCUCACAGUUAGGUAGGGCCUCAUGACCAGGCAUGGCCAGUGAAACAUGUGCAGAAGUGAUCCAUUUCUUCUGGGCCACUGCAUAAAAAAUUUGUCUCUAGUCCUUUGCCUUGGCAAUGCUAGAAGCCACCUGUUGAGAUGGCAACCUGACAAGAUAGAAGGAAUGCCUCCCAGAGCCUCGUCAACCACACGCUGGACUUUAUGAGAGCAAGAAAUAACCCCUUUUUACCUACACUCCCUGAGAUUUCUGGGUUUUCUUAUGAAUGUAGUAUUACCUGGCACAUGUAUAUAUUUCAAGCCAUCACUGGUUUUGUUUCUUCUGUUUUGACCAUAAAACUCAUGACAACCUCACAUUUUUCAGCCAAGAUUAAAUCUGUUAAAUCUAAUCCAGUAGUGUGCACAUGUGGUUACUUCUUAAAUCAGUUAUUUUCACAUUUUAAUGAAACUAUAAAUAAAACUCCUUAUCAACACUUGCAAUGUCAAUGUCUAUGUCAAAAUGGCCACAGAGUCUGAGCUAUUUCCUAACACAUCCUCCUGCUCAAAGUGGGAAUCUAACAGGAUGAACUUUUCAGUAAUGAGGCCGGACAACCUUGCCACCAGCAGGAGAAGCAGCAAUCAGGCCAGGAGAAAGGCUGCUAACUUCCUUGCUGAAGUGUUGAUUAGCCUUCCUGUGACUAGCCUACCAGUGGGGGGAUUCUUAACUGUCCUCAUCUGAACAUCCGACAGGUGAAUCUUUCCUGCCAAAACACACACACACACACACACCCCAAACUGCAACACUAACAUUUCCAAAAGCAGCUGUGUCCAUCAUCAGUGUUCCCCAGGUUAUGACAUGAGAAGGUGAUAUUCAAGAAGUACUAAGUAUAAAUUCUAAAUUACAGAAUUUUUUUUUGGUCAAUUCCAAUCUGUUUAAGUUUAUUUCUUUGAGAGAGUACACAGACCUAGAAUUCUAGCAUCAAUAGGAUGUCUAUGACUUUCAGGAAAAAAAGACACAGGAAAAAAAAAUUGUCUUUUAAUCUCUAGCACCAGCUGGGCAGUCCCUAGACGUAAGCAGACAAGACAAUAUGCUCCUCCUCACUGGGGUGACUUUGAGAAACACGGGAACUAGGUUUAGAAGCAAAACAAGCUCAGAAAGAACUGAGGUCAAAAACAAACAAAAUGCAUAAUUUGUACAAUUGCCUAAAAAGCCAUGAAGUUACCUAGCUAUGUUUUCGAAGGACUAAUAUUACCCAAAAUGAUAAUAAUCCUCACUUGACUAAAUAUUUUUCAAAAUACUGUAUAACAUUUUAUUUUUCAUGGUAUAAACCAACCCCAGAUACAAAUGAUUCACAUUAUCCAAAUGCCUUGAAUUCCUCUCAUUUCUCUUCAUCCCAUUAAUUCCCACUCCUUCUCCCCCACCAUUCCCACAAUUUCCUUCUCAGACUUUGAUACAAUGAUAUAAUCUGGAGGUAAAGGUACAGAUUACCACACAAUCACUGUUACCUCUCUUCUAAGAAUGUUUUUUUACAUUUGCUUUCAGUUUAUAAACAGAAAUACAACUACAGAUUUCAUAUAUAAUCCUUAUUUAUUAUUUAUAACUAUCUAGAUAUACAAACAGAUGUACAUUGACUGGUUUAACUAUUUGCCCCCAGUCUUUUUCAUACCUUGGAUUUCCUACUCUGAUCACUCAUUACACCAUCUACCAUCUGCCGGUCACCCGGAACAUGUUCUUUUUUUGAAGAGACAAAUAAGCAAAACUUUGCCCAAGAGAAGUGCUACCAUAGAAAUUUUUUGAAAUUUUUCCUAUCAGAGAAUAUAACUUGUUUUCACUCAUGGCUGGGUAUAAAAUUUCUGAAUCACAGCCUUUUAUGAGCAAAACUCUACCAAUAUUGCUUUGGUACAGCUAGUAGAGUGGUGUGUGAUUCUAGAUGAUUUUAUCUUUCUUCUUUUGGCAUUUUGGGUAUUACCUAUUUGUUCUUCACUAAACACAUGUUGUUGUAAUAAGAAAAAAUUAAAACAAAUAAUGUCAAGAGAUUUGUGAUGAGUGCUGAUUAUUACAUUCCCAAAUUCUGCUGGGUAUUGAAAGGCCUGCCAAGAAUUGCUGUUGUCAAGGGGAGAAGCCAGCAGUAAGUCACAUAUAGGUACUAGCGAUACAAAUGAAUGCUAUUACUGCACAAUAAUUUUACAAUUCACACAAAAAUAACACUGGGAUUUAAUAUCAUUAUUUAGAAGGAAAAAACUGCGCACCUAGAACACCUAAUGAGAUGAAAGCAUCAGAGAUCCUCAAACUUCUCCAGAGCUUCCUCACAAGACUCUGAAAUCUGAAGGCCACAGGGUCUUGCAACAACUAAGCUCUAAUUCUACACCAUCAUACCACCUCUUUAUUCAGAAAGACAAAAACCACCCACCUCCCAAAAAAAGACAUGUCAAAACUGAUUAUACUUUGGACGAGGUCAGAUGCCGAAGGACAAGACCACAGUUAUUAAAAACACAUGGUCCAGGUUCGGAUGACCUGGGUUCAAGCCUGACUCUACCAUGUGUGGGUGACCCUGAACAAAUCAACUCCUAUGUGUUCCUGUUUCCUCACCUGCAAAAUCAAGAUGAGAAUAGUACCUCUCUCGUGGGACUGCUGUACAAAUUGAGUUAAAGUGAAACACAGUACCUGGCAUGCAGGAAGUGUGAACCAAGUGUUUAAAAUGAACAGAGGAGCCACAUAAGAUAAGAGUUACAGGCAGACCUCCACUAUUUGACCUGUCUCCCAGGAACAUCUAUAACCAUGGAGGAGAGCACAGCAUGUGGUCUUCCUGCCAUCCCAAACCAGUUAGACAGGCUGAGGAUGGACACUGGGGAUUGGUUCAAGCCAUGGCACUUACUGGUGCCAGAAGUACAGCCACUCUUCCAAGCCACUGUGCUAUUGCCUACACUCAGCCUCCAAGCUGCCCUGCCACUGAGUCUGGUCAUUCUGUGAUGGCACCACUGUGGAUCUUGUCAAACACCAAGUGAAGCUGCCCUUGGUUUCCAAAGUAAAUAGAGAGACAGUCCUUAAAACAUCCCUCUACCGGGGGUUCCCGUCGUAGCACAGCAGAAACGAAUCCAACUAUUAUCCAUGAGGAUUCGGGUUUGAUCCUUAGUCUUCCUCAGUGGGUUAAGGAUCCGGCACUGCCUUGAGCUGUGGUGUAGGUCACAAACAUGGCUUGGAUCCCGUGUUGCUGUGGUGUAGG
rnacentral:lncRNA from 1 species